UCCCUUUUAGUGAUCAUGGGCCAUAUAGGGUCAGAUAUUCCUUUUGCUUAGUGAUAGAGGCCUCUCGUAGGUCUAAUUUGCAGGUCCAAUAUGUAAAUCUUGAUGAUGACUCAUAGAGAUUCUUCUGUUCGCAAGAGAUGGAACUUCUGGUAUUUCCCCCCUCCCCAGUUUCUUUUGUAAUAGUAUUUCUGGAGUUGGUGAGUGAACUUCUUUGAGUGUCUAUGUUUAUAUGAGUGGAGGCAUGUCUGUGUGCUCAUCUGCAUAUGCUUUUUAUUGUUGCAUGGUAACAUUGAUCAUAGGAACGUAUGGAGGCUUCUGGAUAGCCCAAGAUAUUUGAUGGUGAAGAUGCAUGAUCCCCUACAAUAUCUGGGGGCAAUGCCCAUUUCUUUGGGUCUCCUGACCUCCAUUUGUGCUGUUUGUUUCAGCUCUUGUCUAUUUGCUGUUUGACGAAGAACCCUCCAUUGGUAGAGAGAUCCUUGCCAUCUUUGAGCAGGUGAACUGGCCUGCACCCGCAGACAGUCCUCCUCACUGAAAAGCCACUUCUACUACAGCUUCUCAUGAUUGGCCCAGGAAGCCAGAAGAAAUUGGAUAGUGGCUCCCCUGAAAAGUCUCUCCUCCUGCUUCUGUUGACCAGAGAACAACCACCAUGGAAUACCAACACACGGGGGAGUCAGUCCUGCCCCCUAUUGCAAUGCUGCCUCAUCACAGAAUGUAAAGCAAGAACAUCGGUGUACAGCAGAAGGGGAUGGACUGUCAACUUGCCGGAAGGCUGGUGGCUGAAACUUAAUUUGUAGAUAGGCUUGUAUAAACGUUUGCACCUUUCUGAUUUUUA